GUAAAGGCCCUACCCAGGGGGUUGUUUUUGUUGGCUUGUCUCGGAAGGACCGACCAAGCCAACACUGGGACUUGGACCCCCGUUCCCCGAUUCCUUACGGGAGGCAAGCAGUGGGGAAUUUUGGACAAUUGGGGCCAAGCCUGAUCCAAGCAAUGGCCGGUGUGUGGAAAGAAGGCCUUCAGGGUUGUAAAGCACUUUUGUCCGGAAAAGAAAACCUUCGGCCUUAAUACGGGGGGGGGAUGACGGUACCGGAAGAAUAAGCACCGGCUAAUUACGUGCCAGCAGCCGCGGUAAUACGUAGGGUGCAAGCGUUAAUUGGAAUUACUGGGCGUAAAGCGUGCGCAGGCGGUCCGCUAAGACAGAUGUGAAAUCCCCGGGCUUAACCUGGGAACUGCAUUUGUGACCGGCGGGCUAGAGUAUGGCAGAGGGGGGUAGAAUUCCACGUGUAGCAGUGAAAUGCGUAGAGAUGUGGAGGAAUACCGAUGGCGAAGGCAGCCCCCUGGGCCAAUACUGACGCUCAUGCACGAAAGCGUGGGGAGCAAACAGGAUUAGAUACCCUGGUAGUCCACGCCCUAAACGAUGUCAACUAGUUGUCGGGUCUUCAUUGACUUGGUAACGUAGCUAACGCGUGAAGUUGACCGCCUGGGGAGUACGGUCGCAAGAUUAAAACUCAAAGGAAUUGACGGGGACCCGCACAAGCGGUGGAUGAUGUGGAUUAAUUCGAUGCAACGCGAAAAACCUUACCUACCCUUGACAUGUAUGGAAUCCUGCUGAGAGGUGGGAGUGCCCGAAAGGGAGCCAUAACACAGGUGCUGCAUGGCUGUCGUCAGCUCGUGUCGUGAGAUGUUGGGUUAAGUCCCGCAACGAGCGCAACCCUUGUCCCUAGUUGCUACGCAAGAGCACUCUAGGGAGACUGCCGGUGACAAACCGGAGGAAGGUGGGGAUGACGUCAAGUCCUCAUGGCCCUUAUGGGUAGGGCUUCACACGUCAUACAAUGGUCGGAACAGAGGGUCGCCAACCCGCGAGGGGGAGCCAAUCCCAGAAAACCGAUCGUAGUCCGGAUCGCACUCUGCAACUCGAGUGCGUGAAGCUGGAAUCGCUAGUAAUCGCGGAUCAGCAUGCCGCGGUGAAAUACGUUCCCGGGUCUUGUACACACCGCCCGUCACACCAUGGAAGUGAGUUUUACCAGGAAAGGUGGC
rnacentral:rRNA from 1 species